rnacentral:rRNA from 1 species
UACGAAGGGGGCUAGCGUUGUUCGGAAUUACUGGGCGUAAAGGGCGCGUAGGCGGCCUGCUAAGUCGAACGUGAAAUCCCUGGGCUCAACCCAGGAACUGCGUCCGAUACUGGUUGGCUUGAAUUCGGGAGAGGGAUGUGGAAUUCCAGGUGUAGCGGUGAAAUGCGUAGAUAUCUGGAGGAACACCGGUGGCGAAGGCGGCAUCCUGGACCGAUAUUGACGCUGAUGCGCGAAAGCCAGGGGAGCAAACGGG